GAGUACGACCACACUUGAGUGAAAACACCAUAUCCCGUCCGAUUUGUGAAGUUAAGCACUCACAGGCUCCGUUAGUACUGAGGUCAGUGAUGACUCGGGAACUCGGAGUGCCGUACUCC
rnacentral:rRNA from 2 species